rnacentral:rRNA from 1 species
AGUAUUGGCGGCAGGCUACACAUGCAGUCGAGCGGCAGCGGGUCCUUCGGGAUGCCGGCGAGCGGCGGACGGGUGAGUAAUGCCUAGGAAUCUGCCUAGUAGUGGGGGAUAACUCGGGGAAACUCGAGCUAAUACCGCAUACGUCCUACGGGAGAAAGCGGGGGACCUUCGGACCUCGCGCUACCAGAUGAGCCUAGGUCGGAUUAGCUAGUUGGUGAGGUAAAGGCUCACCAAGGCGACGAUCCGUAGCUGGUCUGAGAGGAUGAUCAGCCACACUGGAACUGAGACACGGUCCAGACUCCUACGGGAGGCAGCAGUGGGGAAUAUUGGACAAUGGGCGAAAGCCUGAUCCAGCCAUGCCGCGUGUGUGAAGAAGGUCUUCGGAUUGUAAAGCACUUUAAGUUGGGAGGAAGGGCAGUAAGCUAAUACCUUGCUGUUUUGACGUUACCGACAGAAUAAGCACCGGCUAACUUCGUGCCAGCAGCCGCGGUAAUACGAAGGGCGCAAGCGUUAAUCGGAAUUACUGGGCGUAAAGCGCGCGUAGGUGGUUUGAUAAGUUGAAUGUGAAAGCCCCGGGCUCAACCUGGGAAUUGCAUCCAAAACUGUCUGACUAGAGUAUGGCAGAGGGUGGUGGAAUUUCCUGUGUAGCGGUGAAAUGCGUAGAUAUAGGAAGGAACACCAGUGGCGAAGGCGACCACCUGGGCUAAUACUGACACUGAGGUGCGAAAGCGUGGGGGAGCAAACAGGAUUAGAUACCCUGAUAGUCCACGCCGUAACCGAUGUCGACUAGCCGUUGGGAUCCUUGAGAUCUUAGUGGCGCAGCUAACGCAUUAAGUCGACCGCCUGGGGAGUACGGGCCGCAAGGUUAAAACUCAAAUGAAUUUGACGGGGGCCCGCACAAGCGGUGGAGCAUGUGGUUUAAUUCGAGCAACGCGAGACCUUACCAGGCCUUGACAUGCAGAGACUUUCCAGAGAUGGAUUGUGCCUUCGGGACUCUGACCACAGUGCUGCAUGGCU